rnacentral:rRNA from 1 species
AGUGAACGCUGGCGGUAGGCCUAACACAUGCAAGUCGAACGGCAGCACAGUAAGAGCUUGCUCUUACGGGUGGCGAGUGGCGGACGGGUGAGGAAUACAUCGGAAUCUACUUUUUCGUGGGGGAUAACGUAGGGAAACUUACGCUAAUACCGCAUACGACCUACGGGUGAAAGCAGGGGAUCUUCGGACCUUGCGCGAUUGAAUGAGCCGAUGUCGGGUUAGCUAGUUGGCGGGGUAAAGUCCCACCAAGGCGACGAUCCGUAGCUGGUCUGAGAGGAUGGUCAGCCACACUGGAACUGAGACACGGUCCAGACUCCUACGGGAGGCAGCAGUGGGGAAUAUUGGACAAUGGGCGCAAGCCUGAUCCAGCCAUACCGCGUGGGUGAAGAAGGCCUUCGGGUUGUAAAGCCCUUUUGUUGGGAAAGAAAAGCAGCGGGUUAAUACCCCGCUGUUCUGACGGUACCCAAAGAAUAAGCACCGGCUAACUUCGUG